AUACGGAGGGUCCGAGCGUUAAUCGGAAUUACUGGGCGUAAAGCGCGCGUAGGCGGCUAUAUAAGUCAGAUGUGAAAUCCCUGGGCUCAACCUAGGAACUGCAUUUGAAACUGUAUGGCUAGAGUAUGGUAGAGGUGAGUGGAAUUUCAGGUGUAGCGGUGAAAUGCGUAGAGAUCUGAAGGAACAUCAGUGGCGAAGGCGACUCACUGGGCCAUUACUGACGCUGAGGUGCGAAAGCGUGGGUAGCAAACAGGAUUAGAAACCCGAGUAGUCC
rnacentral:rRNA from 1 species